GAUUGUAUAGUCUAGUGGUCAGGACGUGGGAUUCUGAAAGAGUUGCAUUUAGUAACUACUCUAGGAAUUUCCCGAAGCCCCGGUUCGAUCCCGGGUACGAUCU
rnacentral:tRNA from 1 species